GCGUUGGCCCAAUUGAUUGAUGGUGCUUGCACCUGAUUGAUUUUGGUCGCCAACGAGUGGCGGACGGGUGAGUAACACGUAGGUAACCUGCCCAGAAGCGGGGGACAACAUUUGGAAACAGAUGCUAAUACCGCAUAACAGCGUUGUUCGCAUGAACAACGCUUAAAAGAUGGCUUCUCGCUAUCACUUCUGGAUGGACCUGCGGUGCAUUAGCUUGUUGGUGGGGUAACGGCCUACCAAGGCGAUGAUGCAUAGCCGAGUUGAGAGACUGAUCGGCCACAAUGGGACUGAGACACGGCCCAUACUCCUACGGGAGGCAGCAGUAGGGAAUCUUCCACAAUGGGCGCAAGCCUGAUGGAGCAACACCGCGUGAGUGAAGAAGGGUUUCGGCUCGUAAAGCUCUGUUGUUAAAGAAGAACACGUAUGGGGAGUAACUGUUCAUACGUUGACGGUAUUUAACCAGAAAGUCACGGCUAACUACGUGCCAGCAGCCGCGGUAAUACGUAGGUGGCAAGCGUUAUCCGGAUUUAUUGGGCGUAAAGAGAGUGCAGGCGGUUUUCUAAGUCUGAUGUGAAAGCCUUCGGCUUAACCGGAGAAGUGCAUCGGAAACUGGAUAACUUGAGUGCAGAAGAGGGUAGUGGAACUCCAUGUGUAGCGGUGGAAUGCGUAGAUAUAUGGAAGAACACCAGUGGCGAAGGCGGCUACCUGGUCUGCAACUGACGCUGAGACUCGAAAGCAUGGGUAGCGAACAGGAUUAGAUACCCUGGUAGUCCAUGCCGUAAACGAUGAGUGCUAGGUGUUGGAGGGUUUCCGCCCUUCAGUGCCGGAGCUAACGCAUUAAGCACUCCGCCUGGGGAGUACGACCGCAAGGUUGAAACUCAAAGGAAUUGACGGGGGCCCGCACAAGCGGUGGAGCAUGUGGUUUAAUUCGAAGCUACGCGAAGAACCUUACCAGGUCUUGACAUCUUGCGCCAACCCUAGAGAUAGGGCGUUUCCUUCGGGAACGCAAUGACAGGUGGUGCAUGGUCGUCGUCAGCUCGUGUCGUGAGAUGUUGGGUUAAGUCCCGCAACGAGCGCAACCCUUGUUACUAGUUGCCAGCAUUAAGUUGGGCACUCUAGUGAGACUGCCGGUGACAAACCGGAGGAAGGUGGGGACGACGUCAGAUCAUCAUGCCCCUUAUGACCUGGGCUACACACGUGCUACAAUGGACGGUACAACGAGUCGCGAACUCGCGAGGGCAAGCAAAUCUCUUAAAACCGUUCUCAGUUCGGACUGCAGGCUGCAACUCGCCUGCACGAAGUCGGAAUCGCUAGUAAUCGCGGAUCAGCAUGCCGCGGUGAAUACGUUCCCGGGCCUUGUACACACCGCCCGUCACACCAUGAGAGUUUGUAACACCCAAAGUCGGUGGGGUAACCUUUUAGGAGCCAGCCGCCUAAGGUGAUCC
rnacentral:rRNA from 2 species